GCGUCGGUGGCAGAGUGGUCAAUUGCAACUGGCUGUAAACCAGUCGCCCCAUGGGCUACGGGGGUUCGAAUCCCUCCCGGCGCA
rnacentral:tRNA from 1 species